UCAGCUCUCUUUGCCACAUGGCUUAGAUCAAGUGUAGUAUCUGUUCUAUUCAGUUUAAUCUCUGGAUGUUCCCACGGGAACACAUGAUUACACUUUCUUUGGAUCCCGCAACUUGACCUCUGUGCUUGCGUAUGUCUCGUUGCACUGUGUCAUCGGGCUUACACUGCUCUCGAUUGACGCGAAUCCAU
rnacentral:snRNA from 1 species